rnacentral:rRNA from 1 species
UAACAAUGAUUUCCCUAGUAACGGCGAGUGAAGAGGAAAGAGCUCAAAGUUGGAACCUGUUUGGCUUAGCUAAACCGGAUUGUAAACUGUAGAAGUGUUUUCCAGACACGCCUGGUAAAAAAGUCCUUUGGAACAGGGCAUCAUAGAGGGUGAGAAUCCCGUCUUUGGCCAGAGCUGUUGUCUUUUGUGAUACAUUUUCAAAGAGUCAGGUUGUUUGGGAAUGCAGCCUAAAUUGGGUGGUAAAUCUCACCUAAAGCUAAAUAUUUGCGAGAGACCGAUAGCGAACAAGUACCGUGAGGGAAAGAUGAAAAGAACUUUGAAAAGAGAGUUAAACAGUAUGUGAAAUUGUUAAAAGGGAACCGGUUGGAGCCAGACUGGCUUGACUGUAAUCAAUCUAGGCUUCGGCCUGGAUGCACUUGCGGUUUAUGCCUGCCAACGACAAUUUUUUUUGAGGGAAAAAACUAGAAGGAAUGUGGCCCACCUCGGUGGGUGUUAUAGCCUUUUAGAAAAUACCUUGAAUUGGAUUGAGGAACGCAGUGAAUGCCUUUAGGCAAGAUUGCUGGGUGCUUUCGCUGAUAAAUGCUAGAAUUUCUGCCUUGGGUGGUGCUAGUGUUUAAAGGAGAAACUCGCCUGGUAUAUUUUUUAUUCGCUUAGGUUGUUGGCUUAAUGACUCUAAAUGA